rnacentral:lncRNA from 1 species
AAGAGUAAAGUACUUCCGCUUCCUUAGGUGGAGCUGGAAAGGUGGAGGCGGAAGUGACUGAUCAAUUCAGGGGCGUGGGGUUCGUUUAGGUUUUGCCCUGUGUAUGACCUCGUUUGGAGCCAUGAAACCAGGUCUGUGAAAUUUAGUGUCUAUUUUCUACCAUAACACAUGUUAAUUUGGACUAACCACAUUUCGAGUGCUCAGUAGCCACAUGUGGCUAGCGACUACUAUCUUGAGCAAUGCAACGAUAAGUCUGCACUUACGUUCAAAAAGACUUAAAGCAGGGAUCGACAACCCCCAGGCCACAGACUGGUAUGGAUCCAUGGCCUGUUAAGAACUGUGCCACACAGCAGGAGGUCACCAUGUGUGAUGACUACAUCCAAAGAGAGUGAGUGGCUUGAGACAUUGGUAGUAUGUGUAUCUGAUCAUAUCAAUAUGUUAAAAUGACGUUCAAAGUAUGAUCUACCUCAGAAUAAUCUAGCCUCAAGCUUUAUUCUAGGAAGGUAAUUCUGAAGAUACCUAUCUUCUUGAGAGUGAAAUUUUAUGGAAUCCUAGAUUUCUCAUACCUAGGAAUAACAAUACAAGGGACAGAAUAGUUAGCAGUGUUCCUGUUGAAAGGUCCAAGUAUCUCCCUAGGCACAGAAAACACCCAAAUGAGCAAAGCAGACCUUGGUGGCCAGAGGGGAGCCCUCAGGUAGAGCUGCAGAUGCUGGCAGUUUGUGUUAGAAGGUUCCGGGGCUAAACAGAUGCCUAGAAUUAGCCACCAAAAGGUAAAUUGUAGACUCCACUCUUCAAGAAGCAGCAGAAGGAUUAGGAAUUCAAACAGUGCUAUUUUACGGUCAUAAGAACAGACAGUAUUUUUUUGGCGCAGCAAGAACUUCUUAGGCCAUAAAGCAUGACAGACCUCUUUUCCUUAUGCGCUGAAUUGAAGAAGUGCUGACUCUUUUGCUGAUGGUGGCUUUUCUACAAUAUAAAGAUGGAAAUGGGAAGAAGAUGUUCAUUGCAAAUUAAGGAAGCUCUUCCACGAGUUCACGAAUGGAAAUAACAUCAAGAGUUUUUCAUCUUCUUAGUGUGCAAGGUAUGGAUAUUCUGUGUGUGAACUUCAAGAGUAUCUAAGGGAGGCAAUAACAUGGUUGAUAAUAUACCAGAGACUACAAACUGUCUGUGCAUCCCAGAGGAACAGGAAGCUUGUGCAGGUGAAAAGACUGGAGGAGGAAGUAUGUUGAUGAUACCCAGGAAGCCCACCUUCCACUUCUUUGGUCAUCAGAAAUGUCUGAGGAAUAGUCUUAGUGGAUUAUCCCAAACUUGACACAUUUUUUGCAAAAUGCUAUACAAAAAGAAGAUACAUGCGAUUAUGACAAGAUUCUCCACUUGGUGUGACCAGUCUCAUACAACCCAAGGCUGUGUGUCCAAAGGCAACUGUACUGAAUACCGGAAAGCAUGUAUUUGUUUGCUAAAUUGCUCUCUUUCCACCAGUGAUAUCAAUUCUGAAAUACUUUUGAGAUCUUGACAAUAAUCAAAAGGUAGCCAGGUGCAUCGGGGAAAGCACUGACAUUGGAGUCAGACAGACUGAAGUUCAUAUCUGAUUCUGCUAUAUGACAACGUGUGGGCUAUGUGGCUAACUUCUCAGAGCUUCAGUUUUCUCAAGGGCAAAAUGAAAAUAAUAGAAAUAAUAGAAUCCACCUCACAGGGCUGUGGUGAGAAUUGGAGAUGAAGCACAUACAGCAUAUUACAUCAACUAAACACAUGCUAAAAAUUAAAGGGGAUGAAAGAUACAUUGGUCCCUGCAGUGGGAAGUUUCCUUGACAAUGCAAUUAUUGAUUCCAGAAGGCUGAACAAAUGUUGACAGAGGAACACACUGUUUGCUUAUGUCUAAUCUUCCCAUCUGACUUAUAUAAAUGUCACAAAUGAAUCUCAGACAUGUGCCCAAUAUCAAAUAUCCAUACGAUGGCCCUGGAAAGAGGCAAUCUACAUUUAUGGCUGAUGAGAAGAUGGAUUUUUAGCUUGAAAGAAACUUAUUACUGGGGAGAGGAAGUAUAAAUGAAUGGAGAGAGCUAUGAAGAGGUUGAGAGAAUACAGCCAAGGCACAUGACAGAAUUGCUCUGUUGAAGUUUUGCAAGGUCAAAUGACUCACUUUGUCUAAUGGAACGGGAACGAACAAUUUUUUUGUGUCACGUUUGAACAGAUACCUUUGAGAAGUUUAUGAUUCUCCAAGUUCUCUUUCUCCUACUGUGGCACCUACUGACAAGAUAAAUGUGUAGAGGUUCCUGAGUCUAGGGGCACUGGAACCAGCUGACUGAUCUAUGGAAGUUCCCUUGGUCUCCAUUUGUUUAGAAAAGGGAUGAAGAAACUGAGGCCCACAGAAGGUGGGUGAUACCUGCAAAAUCACAAGCUUUCAUGGUGAAAGAAGAGGGCAAAACUCAACCCGUCUCUUUAGACUUGGGAAGAAUAUGAAAGGACCAGGAGGGACACCUUUCCUAAUAACCUAGCUGAUGGUUCACUUAUUGUAAGCACAUUCUCAAACAAGGUGACAAUUAGGUUCAAAUAUCGUCUUUGAAACACAAAGUAGAUCUUACCCUUUUUAUCCUCUUAUUGCUAGUUUAGCUUCUACUGUUAGAAAGUUGAUUCUUAAUGUAAUAUUUGUCUAAGGGUCUGUUAUAGGAGUCCUAAACAGAUACAUCAGCCAUUUUAUGCUCCUAAAUGCAAGCCAGGAAAGAGCUAGAGAUAAAAGCAAAGAUGUUAAUUUAUGUAAAGUACUUAGCAUGGUUCCUGGCAAGAAUAACAAGUCAAUAAAUGAUAUUAAUAAUAAUACUAAUACUGUAAAUAAUACCUAACAAGGCUAUUUUUCUUAUUAUUUUUAAAAUUCAUACAGUCUCUAAAAUCUUCAGUUACUUGUUCCUCUCACAGUGUUCCAUACUACACCCUGGAGACACUGAUCAAGCAGAGAACUGUGUUUACUUGAUUGUCUGAAACAGCAGGCCGAUAUAGCAGUUGCAAGCAUCUUGAGCAAUUCUAUUCCAUAUAGAGACAUAAGAAACCGAGAGAAAGAGACACAAUACAU